AACAAGUAUGGAACAACUUGUUAACAGUUGUAACAACCUUGUUGGUAUUAUCAGAUAUUGUUGCAAGGUUGUUCCAACAAGUCUGAUACAGUCGGGAUAUAACAAUAUUGUUACAACCUUGUGUGGUCAACCUUGUAAUAUUAUUGUUAUAUCAUGCCUGUAUCAGACUUGUUAGAACAUUAACCUUGCAACAAGUCUGAUAAUGCCAUCAAGACGCGAUUGUUACAAGUUAUUAGCAGCUUGUUCCAAACUUGUU